rnacentral:rRNA from 1 species
AUUGAACGCUGGCGGCAUGCCUUACACAUGCAAGUCGAACGGCAGCACGGGAGCAAUCCUGGUGGCGAGUGGCGAACGGGUGAGUAAUAUAUCGGAACGUGCCCAGUCGUGGGGGAUAACGUAGCGAAAGCUACGCUAAUACCGCAUACGAUCUAUGGAUGAAAGCGGGGGAUCGCAAGACCUCGCGCGAUUGGAGCGGCCGAUAUCAGAUUAGGUAGUUGGUGAGGUAAAGGCUCACCAAGCCGACGAUCUGUAGCUGGUCUGAGAGGACGACCAGCCACACUGGGACUGAGACACGGCCCAGACUCCUACGGGAGGCAGCAGUGGGGAAUUUUGGACAAUGGGCGCAAGCCUGAUCCAGCAAUGCCGCGUGCAGGAUGAAGGCCUUCGGGUUGUAAACUGCUUUUGUACGGAACGAAACGGUGAGCUCUAAUACAGUCUGCUAAUGACGGUACCGUAAGAAUAAGCACCGGCUAACUACGUG